CAGCAGCCGCGGUAAUACGAAGGGUGCAAGCGUUAAUCGGAAUUACUGGGCGUAAAGCGUGCGUAGGCGGUGAGUUAAGUCUGUUGUGAAAUCCCCGGGCUUAACCUGGGAACUGCGCUUGUGACUGCACAGCUAGAGUAUGGCAGAGGGGGGUGGAAUUCCACGUGUAGCAGUGGAAUGCGUAGAGAUGUGGAGGAACACCGAUGGCGAAGGCAGCCCCCUGGGCCAACACUGACGCUCAUGCACGAAAGCGUGGGGAGCAAACAGGAUUAGAGACCCCAGUAGUCCCUGUCUCUUAUAA
rnacentral:rRNA from 1 species